AGGAAUUGUGUGUGUGUGUGUGUGUGUGUGUGUGUCUGAGAGAGAGAGAGAGAGAGAGAGAGAGAGAGAGAGAGAGAGAGAGAGAAUACAUGAGGAGAAGAGCAUCAAAGGUGAAGCAGAAAGAUACCAAUGACAAAGACAGUGGGAGAAAUGUGUGACACUAACAACUCUAGCAACAGCGUAAGAAUCUGAAUGGAUGAGGGUUCUUUGUAUUAUUCUUAGUUUUACAAAUUUUCUGAAAGUUUGAAUUAAGUCCCAGUUGAAAGUUAAAAGAGCAAAACAACAGAACAAACGAAACAAAACAAACAACCCAAAACCCCUAAAACUUCAGCGUGAACAAAAUCAUUGACGAGCAGAGGUAUAACGGCCUGGAGGCCGUGGAGCCUGGAGGCUGUAGGAGCCUGCAGUUGGACCAACACAGCCUCUGUUCUGGACCUAUUCAUGAGUCUUGAAUGUGCCCACAGUUCAGCUGGCCCAGUUCUACCAGAGGCAGAGCGUUUCCCUGCAGAUGUGAUGCUAGGCGCACAGGCAUGUCUGUGCUUCCAGAAGUCCCCAUCACAUUCUGGGCCAGAGACACAGAUGGUGGCUGGAUUCCAGCCACAGAUGUAGCUCCCUCCAGAACAGUGAGGCCUACAACUGGAGCAUGCUGCUGCUGGGUCACAGGCCUGAGGGCACAGUAGCAUCUGUGUGACUGCAGACUUAUUCUCUGUGAGAGGAACAGUUAAGGCUAUCCAUGGCCUCGCAUCUGCUGGUCCCAUUCACUAUGACAAGGCUGUGCAGUCAGCUUCUCACCCUCUCACCCCCAUGCCUGAGGUCAGCAUGAAAGUGUUAGCCACUAACCCCUGGACUGUCCUUCUGCAUACAAUUCCCCCACAAACAUCUUCAGAACAUCUCUGUGAGAUUACUUCCUUUAUACCAGGAUCUUGGGUAGCUAUUUCUUCCUAGUGGCUACACUCCUUAGAGAUGCUAAACACACGACAAAGUUAUGAGAGUUCUUAAGAACAUUACAAGACUCGAGACCCAGCCCCCAUGAAGCCCAUCCCAAAGGUUGCACAAGCCGUCACGGUUACUGGAGAGAGGAGACUCUCUCAUGGAAUUGCCUGCAAGUUGUGCAGAGAGUGUCAGAGAUAUUGCUUUUAUGAGGUCAUCCAUGCUGGGAUGGGUUUUCAGUGACAUAGCUGCCUGAGUCACCUGUGUUCUUAUAAGUAACCCCAAUAAAAUCAUUGGUUCACUUUAGCCUAUUAUUGGUUGUGCUCUACCUGGGCAUUUGCUCACAUCUCCAACAGGCCCAGGUAGAGAGUUUAUAUGUAACUUACUAUUGUGUUCCAAGGCUAGCUGCAUUGAGUGCAGUAUAAAAGAGCCUCACAUUUCACAAAAGUGGAAACUAAGACACAAAGGUUAAAGAGCUCCCAAAAUAACACAGAGAAAGAGAAGUGGAGGUUUCUCAGUUGGCAGGGGAAGGAAGUGGGUGAGUCUGGAUCAGGUUAAGGAAAAGGAGUGGACAGAGCCCCAAGAUCCUGGUGAGAGAUGAAGGAAGUGUGUGUGCAUACGCGUAGCGCAGAGGGAGAUACAUGUCAGGGCAAGCAUCAUUUCCACCAGUCUUAACCCCAUAAAAACUAUCAAGUGAAAAUAAUUUAAAACAAGGACACUCAGGAUGGAGUCCCAUGUGUGAGCAGUGUGAUGUCACUCGAGAUGGAGUUCCACUCGUGAGUAGUGUGAUAUACUGGUGCAAGUUGAGGUCCUCAUAAUUGGUGUUCGAGUCCUUUCUGGGGGAGCUUGGAGCCUACCGACAUUUUAGAAGAAUGAAAUCACUUGAAACAAGUCCCCUUCAGACUUACCUUCCUGAUUCUACAAAUGAGUACAUGGAGAUACCCCUGGAAGAUCUACAUGAAUUUAAUAUUAGUAGCUGUCUGAUGUUUCAUUCAACUGGCUAUGGCCGCAAGGAGCUGGAACCAAUCCAAUUGUUCCUGGCCUUCUGCAGCCUCAGGUACCCCAGGAUUCUUAUUAGUGAUGCAUGUCACCACUUGAAUCAACAAGUGUCACUUCUGUUAUCAGCAAAGCCUAUUGCUCCAAGGUCCUGCUUCGCAGAAAGAGAAACCAAACGGUCAAGGCCACAGCUUCUAGAUGAGACAUCUGAAGCCCAGGAACCAAAUGAGCCGCUGAGUCAACUCGUGAAAGACACCCCCCUUGGUCUCUUCAUUGACACCAGAGGUGGCAGCCGAGAGUUAUGAAAAUCUCAAGUACACAGUGGCAGCCCCGACCUGUGUGGAUCCAGGGCACAGUAGUUAGAAUAAGGUUGCUAGACUACCUUACUCUGAUUGUGAAUGACCCUCCUUGGCCACGAGAGAUGGACUGCAAUGUCUUGUUUAGUGAUUAUCGUGGUAUGCAAGUGUGGAGCUCAUGCUUGCAGCUUCCCUGGAGACACGGUAGAGCAUGCUCAGUGGGCAGGCUACUUGUCCUCUGCACCAGCACCUUUUACUGGUUUUGCAGACUUUGAAAGA